UGCCCCGACUGGGUGCUCUUUAUAUACACCUCUCCCACGCUUUCCGCGCUGAGCUGGAGUUGAACUGAAAGUAAAAAUAAAACAAGGGGGAAAAAAAAAAAAAAAAAAAAGUUGUCAGAGAUAUUGUCCGAGCUGCUAGGAAAAUGAACAGGGUGUUUUUUGCUCUGAAGCCUGGCUUUUAAAGAGUUUAUAGGAAACAGUACAGUGUGUAAUAAAAGUGACUCCUUGUACCCUUUCCUUCAAAGAAACCCCACAGCCAUGCUUUAGGAACCCAAGACCAAUUUUUUCCUUAUUUUACAUCAAAGGAAGGGCAGCCUUUUGGUUAAGACGCUGGAAUGGGACACAGGAGAUUGGGGUUUUAAUUCUGGCUCUAAUUUACAAAUUUCUCAUGUGGUUUUUGACAAGACACUUAAGGAGUGACAUAUGAAGAAGUAUUUCAAGAGCUAAACCAGGGGCGGGCAGAAUUCAGAUGCCUGCGUUGCAAAACCCCGAUCCACAGCCUCCCAGCCAGCAGCGUGCCGCGGCUGGCGCUACCGGCGCCUCGUAGAUGGGUACUGGAGAAACAGAAAGGGCUGAGCUCCAUCCUAAACACAAUUCUGCCCUAGGUAGCCACGGGCUAUGUCUUGGAUUGCCCAGGCUGGUGGAGGCGAUGGCUUCGUGGUGAUGCUGCAUCGGUUCGUGCAGCCCACGGGGCCCCGGCUCGCCGUCCCUGAAGCAGCUGGAAAAUCUGGGGCAAAAAAAAGCUCCUUAUUGGUCUCGUCUGGCAGGAGGUGAGCGGGCCAGCUGCAGGCCGGGGUGUCUGAGCCACCUCCCUCCUCUGCUCAGCAUCCUGGUCCUAACGCAGCAGAUUUAACCUUUCUAUUUGGUUGCUUUUUCUUUUCCCCGCCACGGGUGCCCUUUUUUUCUUACUUUGCUAAUUACAGGAGUCUGGGGAAAUGGUUAAAACUUAGCUCAAGUUCUUGUUUAAUGUAUUGAUCAGGAAGAGGCGAGGGAAGCGGCUGUGUUUGGAGAGGAGCUUUGGGAGGACAGCUCUCCAGCACCGUCUGUGCCGAGAGGCCCCCACGCUGCUCUCAUGGGUGGGCAGGAAAACUGAAGUCCGAGCAAUUAGUGGCCCGCGGGCCCGUGCGAAGGGCUGCGGGGAUAGUCAGCGUGGCUUGCAAAAUCCAGCUCUUCCAAAUCAUCGCCCAGUCAGCUUUUUUUCCUGAGCUUUUACUGCCGAGAUUUGCAAUGGAAAUAUUUGUUGGUUUGAAUGAAGUACGAACGGAUGCCUCAGCUCCAGCUCUUUCUUUCCUUUUUAAAUUGAUUUUACCCUUAUUUGGAUGAGCUGCAAGGUAAUGUUACCUCUUGGCGUGGCAGAAGCCCCUGUCCCAGUGAGAUCUUUGCUGUAAUGGUUCACGUUCUUCAUUUUUGGCAUUUCCUGCUCAGUCAAUGAUGGUUAAUUAGUAAAUCGUGUGGGUGCAGGUUUGCAGUAAUGCUUGCCUGGUUCAGGCUGGGGGCUGGCAGUGGGAGAGCCCCCAGCCUUGCAUUCGUUGUGGUGCUGCAGCCCCAGGAUGAUAAAACUGAUGAUAAAACUGAUGAUGCUGUCCUAAAAACUGAGAGAGGGGAGCGGGGGGACCCUCCAGCUGAUGAUGGGGACGUUAAAGUCUCCGGACACAGAGGAAGGGAGAACAGAGGGUCCAGAGGAAGGAGCUCGUGUGCAAGUUCUUCUGUUUUUAACAGGUCUGUACAGGCAUUUCCUUCCACGAAGUAAUGGGAUGAAACACUGAAAAUAAGGCUGUUUGUGGAAAUCAGCAUCCUCGAGGGUCUGCAGGGUCCUGGAGACCGUGUGGUCGCGACCCGCGUUUAGGCAGAGGCCGUGCCAAAACCUGGAGGCAUCCUCAGACCGAUAAGAGAGAGCCGCUGCGAAUGUCGAGGGUGAGCAGUGCCGCUGCAGCCGCGGGACCUGCAGGUGCCAUGGCCGGGCGCGGGUGGGCACCAAAGCCCCACACGUAUUCCAGACUCCUCCUGACUUGCCUGAAUAGAUCCAUUUUCCUGAGACCAGCUGCAGCGAUUCUGCACGUUUGUGAAAACACGUUGCACCAGAGGCUGGUGGAGCUGGUGCGGGGUCUGUGGCUGGUCCCCCAAGGGUGCCUCUGUCCCACAGGUUGCCCCUGAAGCUGUGAGGUGACCAGCUAAGCCUCUCCCACCUCCCCACCCAUGCCCUUUUGCAAUCUAGUGAUUAACUUAAUUACAGUCCCAGCGCCAGGAGUUGAUCCAGCCCGAGAGCACGAGCUCUGCCAGGAGGGUCUUGCCUCACGUGUCCUGUCCGGGUUCAGAACAAGACCACGGACACGUACACGAGCACCGCUGGCUGCAGAAGCAAAUCCUGUUGCCUCGUGUGGGGGAUUUAAGCACUGAUUCCCAGAGUGAGCAGCUGUGUGGGACCUGCUGUGUGGAAAGAACACGCGGGAUGGAGAAUGGCAAAAGCUCAGUCUCGCCAGCCAAGCACGGGGUGGAGGAUGUGCUGCACCCAGCGCGUCCGAGGGGACACCUCUGGGCUGCGCGGCAAAGGCGAUGCAAGAGGCGUCCAAAUUAAAAAAGGGCUGACGCUGAGGCCACCACGAAGCAUCGUCCCUUCUCCCCUGCUCUGGCACCGGCACCUCGCCCGCGCAGACCGAGACACGCCAGCGCCCGGGACUGGCCAGGAGCAGCCACUGACAUGUGCCACGAGUUUCGCAGUCCUCGUGGUCUCGUCUCUGGCACCUGAGGAGGAUGACUCUGGGCUGCUGAGGCCCCAGGGAUGAUGCCCUAGGUGCAGGUACCUGGUUCCGGGUGUUUGCCACGGGGCAGCGGGCGGUUAAGUGCAGAGCUGCACACACCUCUCCUCUGUGCGUCUGCCUCUGUUUUGCUUCCCAGGGGAGAAGCAUCUGGAGGGAGUGGAAACCACAAGGGAUGCUGUAAAAACUAAUUGCUCGUUACAGGUUGAAAUGUUUUGUGGCGACGCAGGAAACCCUUCUGGGCAGGGGGGCACUCGGUGUGCCCCGGCACGGUG